AUUGAACGCUGGCGGCAGGCCUAACACAUGCAAGUCGAGCGAGCGGCGGACGGGUGAGUAAUGUAUGGGGACUGCCCGAUAGAGGGGGAUAACUACUGGAAACGGUAGCUAAUACCGCAUACUAUCGGAUAACCCAUAUGGGAUUAGCUAGUAGUUGAGUUAAUGACUCACCUAGGCGACGAUCCCUAGCUGGUCUGAGAGGAUGAUCAGCCACACGGGGACUGAGAAACGGCCCAGACUCCUACGGAGGCAGCAGUGGGGAAUAUUGCACAAUGGGCGCAAGCCGGAGACAGCAAUGCCGCGGGUAUGAAGAAGGCCCUAGGGUUGAAAAGUACUUUCAGUCGGGAGGCGUUACCGACAGAAGUAGCACCGGCUAACUCCGUGCCAGCAGCCGCGGUAAUUC
rnacentral:rRNA from 1 species